rnacentral:rRNA from 1 species
GACGAACGCUGGCGGCGUGCUUAACACAUGCAAGUCGAACGGAAAGGCCCUGCUUUUGUGGGGUGCUCGAGUGGCGAACGGGUGAGUAACACGUGAGUAACCUGCCCUUGACUUUGGGAUAACUUCAGGAAACUGGGGCUAAUACCGGAUAGGAGCCCCUGCUGCGUGGUGGGGGUUGGAAAGUGUCGGCGGUUGGGGAUGGACUCGCGGCUUAUCAGCUUGUUGGUGGGGUAGUGGCUUACCAAGGCUGUGACGGGUAGCCGGCCUGAGAGGGUGACCGGCCACAUUGGGACUGAGAUACGGCCCAGACUCCUACGGGAGGCAGCAGUGGGGAAUAUGGCACAGUGGGCGGAAGCCUGAUGCAGAAACGCCGCGUGCGGGAUGACGGCCUUCGGGUUGUAAACCGCUUUCGCCUGUGACGAAGCGUGAGUGACGGUAAUGGGCAAAGAAGCACCGGCUAACUACGUG